CUUGAUUUACCCUUCGUUUGCAGGAUGGAGAGGUAAACUUAUAAAUCAUUCUUCCCAGUUCAGUUCUACUUGACUGGAUCUGAAAAAGAAACUUGUGGUGUAUUUUGUGAAAAAUCAGAAAUGGUUCUUAUGAAUGGGAAGAUCAUAGAUCAGUCAGAGCUUACAAAGGAACAGAUGGUGGAGCAGCUUUCUGUUUCAGUGCUUGUGACGAUGAUGAAACCAGUGGUUACACUCCUGUAUGUUUAAAAUCUUCUAUUAUGUCAUCAUCAUCAUGCAACUAAUUAAUCACACAUACCUCUCCGCAAUCUUAACUGGAUCCUUUCGCGUUGUUUCAGGUGUUCACGGGGAAAAACACAGGAGCCAUGACUUAUAGCUUUAUAAAGGCCGUGAA
rnacentral:lncRNA from 1 species